GACUCCGUGGCCAAGCUGGUUAAGGCGCGAGACUGUUAAUCUCGAGAUCGUGAGUUCGAUCCUCACCGGGGUCG
rnacentral:tRNA from 2 species